GCCGUGGUGGCGGCGCGGUGCCGGGCGGCGCGCCAGGUUUGUCCGCUCCUCCUGGCUGUGCCGUGCGGUCGGAUCUCGGUGGGGUCCGGGACCUCCGGGGUCGGUGCCGCUCACGUACGGGACGGCGCCGGAGGGCCGGGAUCGGCGGCAGCGGGGUGGCACCGAGACCUCCCGUGUGCCUGCGGGAACGGCGAGAGCGGCUGCUGAGGCUGUGAGCGGUGGCUGAUGAGAGAAGCUGAAGAGAGGAGCCUUAGAAUUGAGCUGAUGGGUGAAUCCCAGCCUUGGGAUUUGCGUGCUCUUUGUUCAGCAAACACGUCUGGCCCCCGAUUGCUUUAACGGACCGAUGUUUUUACGUGGCACCAGACAAGGUAGGGAAUCUGUGAGACUUGGCGUGCUUGCAUUGAUGCUUCUCAGCCUGUUUUUGCUUUUCUGCAGUGGCAUAACACUAGCCUAGGCAGGGACUUGCCAACGAUCUUCUCGUGUCAAAUGGCGUCAGGGCUUAGGCUUGAUCACAGUGGUGAAUACAAGUGAUUUAUUGUGAGGCUGCAUUUCUGAAUUCUCACUGCAGCAAAGCUUCUCAAGUUGUGGCUCCCGACCCUCUGAGAAAGCCUGCCCUUUCUGUUGCAGUGUGCGAAGGUACAUACAAUGUCCAUUCUUUCUAGUGUGUUUCCCUUGCUGUUGCUGACUGUUUCAGGCAGUGUCACUCUUGCACUCUGGUAAGGCAUUGAAGCUUGAGAAAUGGACCUUGGAGGGGGGGGAGUGGGAGGUGUGUGUCCGACAUGAGAUUUUGCCUUGCUGUGCUUUUACAGUAGCAUAUAGUAAGUUCUGCAUAUGAAGUAUUUAAGUAACGUCUUGUUUCUGUGUUGACACAGAAUGACAUUCUGUAUGACCACGUCUUGAUGAGAAACUGUGGAUAAAAGCAUUGUCUACUAAGCUGUAGAGCCAUUGUUAAUAGAGUAUAAUGUGUAGCAAGGCUAAGGGUUGUAGACAGCUCUCCCAGCAUGAGUGUUCUUUUCAGUAAGGCUGCGGGGAGUGGGUCGAAGGAUGAGAGAAAUAAGCACCUGCCUUGAAUUUUCAUACAGAAUUUUUCCCUGGAGGGCUGACAGAACCAGUCGGAGCAAUUUCCUUUGGCAGACUGAAACAAACUAAAACCGUGGAGUUCAGUAAUGGCUGCAGAAGAUUUAUUUAUGUGUAUGAGAUUUUACAUCGUAUAUCAACACAUUCUCAUUUCUCAAAAUGGCUUUUUUACUUUUUGCUGUAUAGGUAUGGAAUGAAAGGGCAUUUGAUAGCAAAUGGAUCAAGCACACACAGCAGAGUUUACUCAGGCUGGUUAUACUUGUGAGUGGACGGAUGGUUAGAAGGAGGUGGAAGCUCUGCAGCUCUGACAGAUGGCCUAGGAAACCUUACUGUCAUAAUCAAAGCUAUGUAUUACUGCAUUACUAGGAUGAUGGAUCACUGAUGACUGUCGAUUGCUCUGAAAGGAAUGCCUUCUAUUUAUUUCCAUAGAAAUGACAACGGAUACGUAGGUGCUCAGGGGCUUUUCUGAGCUGCAGGUCCCGCACUGCAGCCCUGUGGCACAGCCUCACAUCUGGUGACGGACUGAAGCUGGAGACUCCUGGCAGCAGAGGAUGCUCCUGCCCCACAGAAAGGCUCGCAGCUCCAAUGCAGCUCCAGUGCCCUCAGUGCUGGACAGGAAGCAAAGGUGCACCCAACCUUAUUCCUUGUGCGGAUCACCAUGUGAGGCCACCAGGAAAGGUGAGCACAGGUGAUGCUGCUGGGGGACAUGUGAAUGGCAGCAAUGUGGCUGCAAAGCUCUCGGGCUAGUAGUCAAGGGCACGGGGAUCUUGGUGCUGCUGUGGGACAGGUGUGAAGAGGAGGGCACUGGUGGUGUGUGCCAGUCAUUGGCUGCAGGACUGGUGCUGGUAGCAGGGCCUUGGGUACUGUGGCUGGGGGAUCUAUUUGCAGAUUGAUGGCUGCUUGGAAGAGGUGGGACCCACCCCCCUAAGGGAUGUGAGGAUAUUUUCAUCAGUAGGAUGGCAGCUUCAUGAGGGAGGCUUUAAACUAUGAAUAGGGAGGGCUACUGAGUAAAGGGAUUGUGUGAUGCUGUGGCAGGAACCAGAAAAUCAGCACUAUGAUUAAGCAAGGACACUGCCAGCAGGUUCACAAGGAAAUGCCUGAAGGCACAUGGAGAAAUCCCCCAAAGCUCCAGAGGAGGUUCUGAUGGGUAAUGGUGAGGCUGCUUGAAUUUGCACAGAUGGAGAGAGGAAUAGAUAAACAAGAGGGAUCAACACAGGAAAGAACUUUUGGAGGGAUGGAUGGAAGAAUGGAUUGAAGGAAUCAACUGAGGAAAUGAUUUCUGCCCCAAAGACCAGUGCCCCCAAGCCCUAUCCCCUCCAUGGGGACCAGUGGGGGUGGCCCUGGAGGUACAGAACCUGCAUCCUAUUGGCUCGAGCCGCUUUCUUGGCUGCUUCAAAACUUGGAAACGUUGGAGGAGGUUCAGCUCCGUGGCUCCAGCAUGGUGAGUGCCCCCAUAUCCCCUGUCCAUUUGGGUUGGGGUUAUGGGGUCCGUGGUGCAGGAUGGAGCUUAGGUAUGGUGGUUCAUUGCUCCCUUUUAGUGGGAUGUGGGGUGAGAUGUGUUCUUGCCACAUGGGUCCCCUUCUUACAGGUGUGAAUGGGUUCCUUGGAGUAGAAUGAAUCCCAUUGCCCACCUAUGAGGGUUUAUGGGGUACAGAGGGGCAGGGUGGGGUCCCUAACCCUGCAGCUGGAUGCUCUGUUUAAGGUGAGAAGAAAGACAAUGAGGUAAAGCAGGGCAGAGGGAGGACUCCCUGCUUGCCCCUCUCCUUCACUGCUAUGUCAGUGGGGUAACAGCAGUUCUCAGAGCAACUGUCCAAACCAUCCUACUCUCCUCUCUGAGGAAGGUGGUGCUUUAUGGCCUUUUUCUUUCCAGGGUGGUUGGUACUGCUAUGUGGUGAGUCCCAUUAGGCCAAAAUUACUGAUUUUGUGCUGAAAUUCAACUCUUCUUUCCCAACUGUAUUCUCAAGGGAUCCUUCUUCCCCACCCUCUCCUUCCUCCAGACUUGUAUCUUCAGCCUCCAAAUCCAUCCACCCUUUUGCAGCAGCCUUCCUUCAUCCCUCCCAAUCCAAAUCUGUCUUUUCCAACCCCAAAUCUAUACACUCUUCCCUUUUACUCCUUGCUUUUUAUCUCCAGCCCCAAAUCUAGCAUUUCUAACCCCCAAAUCCAUCUAAGCUUUCCCUUGUUUUCUAUCCCCAACCCCCUAAUCUGGCAUUUCCAACCCUCAAAUGUACCCUUUUACCUCUUGCUUGACAUAUCUGACCCCAAGUCAGGCACUUCCAACUUAAUCCACUUAAAAUUCUGCUUUCCACCUCCAAGCCAUGAUCUGUAAGUAACCUGCUUUUUUAGGUUUAUAAAUUGGGAGUUAAGGGAUCCUGGCACCCAAAAAGGACUGGAGACCUGGGAGGACCCUGCCCUCCAUUGUCCCCUUCUCUCCGCAGCACCCAACUGCCCUACCAGCACCUGCUGCACUCUGCAUCCUGGAUUUCACCUAUGGGUUCUGUAAGGGCUGUGUGUCCCCAAGUGGUCCCCACUGCGGUGACAAGUGCUGGGCAGUGCCAGCGGUGGUCACUUCAGGGCCGUGCCAGGCUGUGAGUACUAACCACUGCCUGAGCUUCGAUAGGAUGGCCAUAGCUGUCAGGGUCAACUGCAUCUGUGUGGUGGCACAGAGCUGCAACACAGCCAGAGUCCACCUUGAGUACCUUCAAGGUGACUCUCUGACACCCAGGGCAGGCUCAGCAAUCGCAGUGUUGCUGUCACUGUGCACUGGCACCGCUUUGUGCUGCACUCUGGGAAAUACGUGGUGGUGAGGAUGAGGAGGUGGUGUGGGGUGGGAACAGGGAAUGUGGAGAUAGAAGGGUGGGGAGUUGGAAGUGGUGAGUAGAAAGGGUUGCAUAGGGUGGGAUGGAGAACAGAGCUGAAACAGAGGCUAAAGAAGAGGGAUAGAGAAUGUGGAAGAGAGGGAUGGCGAAGGACAGAAGUGAUGGGAUGGAUGGAUAGUGGGAGGGAUGGAGAACAAAGAAGGGAUGUGCACCAGGUCACAUGCUUCACCCACAAGACUGACACCAUCCUCCCACUCUCAGACUUCAGCCUCAACCAGUGCUCUUUAACAUCUUUAUCAGUGACAGCAAUGAUGGAAUUAAGAGCACCCUCAGCAAGUUUGCUGACGACACCAAGCUGAGUGGUGUGGUUGACACAGUGUGUAUAGUCAGCAAAUAUACAGAGUGGUGUGGUUAGGCGGUAUCUACAGAUUGUAUAGCUAGAAAGAUCAUGGUGGAAAGGGAUAAUCAAAAAUAAAUGAAAAUGUUCACCCGCGCCCUGGGCUCACAGAAAAACUCCAAAGGGAGCAAUCUUCAGGAAGAGAUCUUUCCUCAGUGAGUGUUAGCCUUUAAAUGGGGUCUAGGAGAGGUCACACUGCUGAAUUGCCUUCACCUGUGCUCCCAUAGCUGAUUCAGUGCUUGCCUCAGUAAUCAGAGGUUCAGGCCAUGAUUCAGCAGUUCCCAUACACAGUGGAAGGAAGGAAUGCCAAUCAGAGGGACCUCAGUAGACUUGAAAGGCAGGCCCAGGUGAAUCUAAGGUUCAGGUUCAACGCAGCAAAGUGCAAGGUUUUUGCACUUGGGCCUGAGAAAUCCCUGGCAUAUAUACAGCCUGGAAGGAGCAGUCCUUGAGAGCGGCCCUGCAGAGAAGGACCUGGGGGUUCUGAUGAAUGAAAAGC